AGUGUACAAUAUUAAAAAUGCUAGGGAGGGCUUGGAAGGAUACGAGGAACAGGUUGUACCAUGAAUAUUACAAAUCAGAAUUGACUAUUGAAUAAAAUAUUGAAGGCCGCCCAUCGGGAAUUAUUGCAGAGCAUUGGAGAUGGUAUCUUGAUUAUCGCUAUAGUGAAGACACAAAGAAGAAGUGUAGGAAAAAUGCUGUGAAUCGAUCGAAGCAGUUAUAUACUCACACUGGCGGAUCGAAAAGCUUGGCAAGGUUCGUAGAAGAAGAGUUGGAACGACAAGGGCGUCCAGUUGGUAGAGGGGAGUUGUUGACCUUAACGCACAAACGACCUAAUGGCUCCUAUCUCCAUGAUGUAGCUCGGGCUAUUGGUGUAAGAAAGAAUUGUGGAGAUUGAGCAACAUGAUGAAUCAUGUAGACUGU